rnacentral:rRNA from 1 species
AGAGUUUGAUCCUGGCUCAGGACGAACGCUGGCGGCGUGCCUAACACAUGCAAGUCGAGCGAAUGAAUUUCCUUCGGGAACGGAUUUAGCGGCGGACGGGUGAGUAACACGUGGGCAACCUGCCUCAUAGAGGGGAAUAGCCUUCCGAAAGGGAGAUUAAUACCGCAUAAGAUUGUAGUACCGCAUGGUACAGCAAUUAAAGGAGCAAUCCGCUAUGAGAUGGGCCCGCGGCGCAUUAGCUAGUUGGUGAGGUAACGGCUCACCAAGGCGACGAUGCGUAGCCGACCUGAGAGGGUGAUCGGCCACAUUGGGACUGAAACACGGUCCAUACACCUACGGGUGGCAGCAGUAGGGAAUAUUAGAAAUGGGCGAAAGCCUGAUCUAGCAACACCGCGUGUGCGAUGAAGGCCUUCGGGUUGUAAAGCAUUUUUUGGAGGGAAUAGGAAGGAAGGUACCUCCAGAAUAAGUCUCGGCUAACUACGUGCCAGCAGCCGCGGUAACACGUAGGAGGCAAACGUUAUCCGGAUUCACUGGGCGUAAAGCGCGUGUAGGUGGUUCUGUAAGUAGGGCGUGAAAGCUCCCGGCUCAACUGGGAGAGGCCGUACUAAACUGCAGAGCUAGAGGAUGGUAGAGGGAGGUGGAAUUCCAGGUGUAGUGGUGAAAUGCGCAGAUAUCUGGAGGAACACCAGUGGCGAAGGCGGCCUCCUGGACCAUUCCUGACACUCAGAACCCGAAAGCUAGGGUAGCAAACGGAAUUAGAGACUCCGGUAGUCCUAGCCCUAAACGAUGCAGACUAGGCGUCGGCGGUUUAAUCACCGUCGGUGUCCAAGCUAACGCGAUAAGUCUGCCGCCUGAGGACUACGGCCGCAAGGCUAAAACUCAAAGGAAUAGACGGGUCCCCGCACAAGCAGCGGAGCGUGUGGUUUAAUUCGAUGCUCCGCGAAGAACCUUACCUGGGUUUGACAUAACAGUGGUAGAGAAGAGAAGACGGAUCGACCCUUCGGGGAGCUGCUACAGGUGUUGCAUGCCUGUCGUCAGCUCGUGUCGUGAGAUGUUCGGUUAAGUCCGCUAACGAGCGCAACCCGCGCUGUGUGUUACAAGUGUCACACAGUACCGCCGGUAUUAAGUCGGAGGAAGGUGCGGAUGACGUCAAGUCAGCAUGACCUUUAUAUCCAGGGCUACACACACGCUACAAUGGUCAGAACAAUAGGUUGCCAAGCCGCAAGGCGGAGCCAAUCCUCCAAAUCUGGCCUCAGUUCAGAUUGCAGGCUGCAACUCGCCUGCAUGAAGUCGGAGUUGCUAGUAACCGCAGGUCAGCAUACUGCGGUGAAUAAGUUCCCGGGGAUUGUACACACCGCCCGUCAAG